rnacentral:misc_RNA from 1 species
UGCAUCACUUGUGUCAUCAACAAAGCCCGAAGAGGAACAUUCUUUGCUGUUCCAUUUGAUGACACUUGACAUAGAGCGAGAAGCUGAUUGAGAAGAAAUUGGAGGGUCUGGCACAUCACAGAGACCUUCAAGCAUUUGGACCACUUUAGUCAUAGGCGGUCUCAAUUGCAUCUCUUCUUGAAUGCACCAUAAUGCAACUUUGAUUGCAGUGACAACCCUCACAUCAUUUUCAUUGAUGUCCAGCUUUGGAUCAAUGAUUUCUCUCAAUCUUCCUUCUUCCAA